rnacentral:rRNA from 1 species
UGCGCAGGCGGUUUUGUAAGACAGUGGUGAAAUCCCCGGGCUCAACCUGGGAACUGCCAUUGUGACCGCAAAGCUAGAGUGCGGCAGAGGGGGAUGGAAUUCCGCGUGUAGCAGUGAAAUGCGUAGAUAUGCGGAGGAACACCGAUGGCGAAGGCAAUCCCCUGGGCCUGCACUGACGCUCAUGCACGAAAGGCUGGGAGCAAACA